GCUGGCGGCGCGCCUAACACAUGCAAGUCGAACGAGAAAGUGGAGCAAUCCAUGAGUAAAGUGGCGUACGGGUGAGUAACACGUGGAUCAUCUGCCCUUUUGUGGGGAAUACCGCUGGGAAACCGGCGACAAUACCGCAUAAGCCCGAGAGGGGAAAGCAGCAAUGCGCAGAAGGAGGAGUCCGCGGUCGAUUAGUUAGUUGGCGGGGUAAAGGCCCACCAAGACUGUGAUCGAUAGCCGGCCUGAGAGGGCACACGGCCACACUGGCACUGAAACACGGGCCAGACUCCUACGGGAGGCAGCAGUGGGGAAUCUUGCACAAUGGGGGAAACCCUGAUGCAGCGACGCCGCGUGAGCGAUGAAGCCCCUCGGGGUGUAAAGCUCUUUCGGCAGGGAAGAUUAUGACGGUACCUGCAAAAGCAGCUGCGGCUAACUACGUGCCAGCAGCCGCGGUAAUACGUAGGCAGCAAGCGUUGUUCGGAGUUACUGGGCGUAAAGGGUGCGUAGGCGGCUUUUUAAGUUUGGUGUGAAAUCUCCCGGCUCAACUGGGAGGGUGCGCCGAAUACUGAGAGGCUAGAGUGUGGGAGA
rnacentral:rRNA from 1 species